rnacentral:tRNA from 1 species
UCUAAUAUGGCAGAAUAGUGCAAUAAAUUUAAGAUUUAUAUAUAAAGUUUAAUCUUUUAUUAGAA